UGGAAGUAAAAAGUCGUAACAAGGUCUCCGUUGGUGAACCAGCGGAGGGAUCAUUACCGAGUUUACAACUCCCAAACCCAAUGUGAACGUUACCAAACUGUUGCCUCGGCGGGAUCUCUGCCCCGGGUGCGUCGCAGCCCCGGACCAAGGCGCCCGCCGGAGGACCAACCAAAACUCUUAUUGUAUACCCCCUCGCGGGUUUUUUUUAUAAUCUGAGCCUUCUCGGCGCCUCUCGUAGGCGUUUCGAAAAUGAAUCAAAACUUUCAACAACGGAUCUCUUGGUUCUGGCAUCGAUGAAGAACGCAGCGAAAUGCGAUAAGUAAUGUGAAUUGCAGAAUUCAGUGAAUCAUCGAAUCUUUGAACGCACAUUGCGCCCGCCAGUAUUCUGGCGGGCAUGCCUGUCCGAGCGUCAUUUCAACCCUCGAACCCCUCCGGGGGGUCGGCGUUGGGGAUCGGCCCUGCCUUGGCGGUGGCCGUCUCCGAAAUACAGUGGCGGUCUCGCCGCAGCCUCUCCUGCGCAGUAGUUUGCACACUCGCAUCGGGAGCGCGGCGCGUCCACAGCCGUUAAACACCCAACUUCUGAAAUGUUGACCUCGGAUCAGGUAGGAAUACCCGCUGAACUUAAGCAUAUCAAUAAGGCGGAGGAA
rnacentral:rRNA from 1 species